rfam:Gossypium hirsutum cultivar TM-1 chromosome 16, whole genome shotgun sequence
AACCCAUGGUAAGGGCACCUUCUCAAUAAGUCCUUAUAUCUCUCACAUGCAUCAUAUAGGGUCUCUAAAUCUAUUUGCACUAAGGAAGAGAUAUCAUUCCUUAGCUU